UGAGGAUUCAUCUGGAGAUUCCGAAUGGGGCUGCAGCAUUUGAAAAGCAGAACAAUGAUAACUUCCUUAAAGCAUCAUUGGGAAAAAAACCGAUAUUUCAAUGUCCUUCCAGAUAUUUGACGUUGACCGUGGUGCUGAAAGAAAAUUAAGCCCUAGCAGCACAGCAUGAAGACAGAAACCCUCUGCAUGGAGGAAGUAGAGUGAAGUGAGCACCCAACUUUUCCACAGACACCAGUGCCAGCCCUGCCUCCAUGAACCAGCCCCCAGAGUCCCAGGCUCCAGUCCUAGCCCAAUCACAGGCUGGCCCCUGCAAACUCAGGCUCGAGGCCCAUCCCCAGUGCCAGGGAAGCCUCUGUGGAUUCAGGCUCCUCCCAAUGAACCCAGGCUCCAAGCCCACCCACCCACUGACCUAGGCACCAGGCCAGCCCAUCAACAACUCUGCCAGUCAGUUCACACAGAAUCUAUAGACCGACUGAGUGGUGAAGGGCUUUCCCUGCCAAAGUUAAUCAGUAAAGUUUGGAGAAGGUGCCUAUGUCUUCCAAUGUGUAGAUACCAACACAAGGCCACAAGGAUCAAGAAUAAUCGGGUAAGCAUGACACUACCAUUAAAACAAAAUGAAGUAUCAGUAACUGACCCUAAAGAAAUGGAAAGCUACUAACUGUCUGACAAAGAAGUCAAAAUAAUCAUCUUAAAGAGGUUCAGUGAACUACAUGUGAAUACAGAUAAACAACUAAAUGACAUCAGGAAGAUAACAUGUGAACAAAAUUUAAAGUUCAAAAAAGAACUAGAAACCAUAAAAAUGAACCAAACAGAAGAACCAACCAGGAAUUCUGAAGCUGAAGAACACAAUGACUGAACUGAAAUAUUCAAUAGAGAGCUUUCAUAGCAGAUUCAAUUAAGCAGAAGAAAGACUCAGUGAGCUCAAAACAGGUCAUUUGAAAUAGCCCAGCCAGAGAAAGAAUAAUAAACAACAAAAGGAAUAACAUAGAGUGAAGAAAGCCUACAGGACUUAUUGGGACACCAUCAAGUGAACUAAUAUAUGCAUUAUGGGCAUUCCAGAAGGAACAGAAAAAGAGAAAGGAACAGAAAACUUAUUUAAAUAAAUGACAGAAAACUUAACAAUUCUGGAAAGGGAAGCAGACGUCCAAAUCCAUGAAGCCCAAAGAACUCCAAAUAGUUUGACCAGAAAGAGGUCUUCAGCAAGUCACAUUAUAAUCAAUUUGUCAAAAAUCAAACAGAGAAUUUUGUAAGCAACAACAGGAAAACAACUUGUCACGUAAAAAGGAACCCCCACACGACUUAUCAGUGGAUUUCUUAGCGGAAACCUUGUAAGCUGGGAAAGAGAGUGGUGAUAUAUUCAGAGUGCUGAAAGAAAAAAACAUCCAAGAACAUUGUACCUGGCAAGGCUGUCCUUCAAUAAUGGAGAGAGAAGGAUUUGCCCAGACAAACGAAAACUGUGAGAGUUUAUCACCACUAGACUUACCUUACAAGAAAGGCUAAAGGGAGUUCUUUAUGCUGAAAUAAAAAGACACUUUAGUGAAUCAUAAUUUUAUAUUUCCUCAGCAUCCAUUUUAAAUAUAAGUUGAAGUUUCUUAUACCAGAAGCAGGGCUUAGUCACCCUUAACACGUAGUUUGCAGUUCUCUGCCGUCUCUUAGUUCCUCAGUGUGGUUCAUCCAGUUAUCUGUCUUAUGCAAUUGCUUCUUAGUGACCACUUCCAUAUGGAACAGCUAUUAAUAGAUGCAACUUAUCUGACUUAUCCUACUGACCCUCCCACCCCAUAGGAACUGCUCACAUAUGCUGCAGUGACCACCUCUCAGUCACAGCAUCACUCCAUGGAACACUUAUCUACUUGCUCCAAACUCAGCAAUUAGAACUCCUCAUGGAAAACCUGGUUAGGUAGUGCCCCACACCCUGGUAAAGGCUUUGGCCCACAGUUCCCUCUCUUUCUUUUGCUCCCCACUCACUGCUUGAGUGAGAAUUU
rnacentral:lncRNA from 1 species